rnacentral:misc_RNA from 1 species
ACUAACUAUUCUUUGUCCGUAGCAAACUUUACCUCAGAUUAAAAUGUUGGGGCGAUCUAUAUUGGUGUCGCUUCUGGCGAUUUGUGUGUCAGCACAAGAGAGAUCAUCCAGCCAGUUGUCUCGAUCAUCCUUUUUACAAGAUGGAGGUCAAUCGUCCUGGUCAUCUUUGCCAAACAGUGUCGAUGUUAGACCCCAUAACGAACGUACUAUUGGGACUGGCUCUCUUUUACGAAACCAGGGUUCCCUAAUACAACCGUUCAAUGUACCUGAUUCUACCGAAUCUCUGAACCUGUUUAAUAGGGAUAGUAACUCUCUUUUUAGUAGUCAAGGCUCCAUGUUGCAACCGGCCGACUUAGGAUCUCGUAACCUACGUAAUAUGGACAGUAGAUCCCUAUUUAGAAAUCAGGGGUUCUCAAAGGGGAUCGGGUCAGCUUGGUUUAGAUCGUGGAUUGGCAGGGCGAAUAGGAAACGGACUGGGGUUGAAUAGAUGGAAUAUGCAAGGCGAUAUGUCCACUGGUCAAAGGAAUGAUUUUAGAAAUUUGGGUCUUAAUCGUCGAAUGAAUGGCAUAAUGGAUUCAAACACCAGAUCUGGGAGUAACGACCGCCGCAUGGAUCACAUAUGGAUACUUAGAAACAGAGGGAAUGCCUUUUCUACUGGAGUGUUAGGAAAUAACGGACCUCUUUCGUCAAGAAUACCCCAAAACGACCGUCGCAUGGAUGAGAUAUGGAUAUCGAGAAACAGAGGAGGAUCCUUUUCUAAUGGAGUGUUGGGCAAUAACGAACCAAUUAUGGAUAACAUAUGGGCGUCACAAAACAAUUUGGCCGGAAUACCAGUUACACCAAACCGUCUGACUCAACCAUCACGAACAUCGAGCAUCGGUCGAACCUCCCCAAGCCUUACGUCUUCCUUGAGCAGUGACCUCACCUCUGGACCUCGCAACAGUAGGACGACGGUAUACCAGCCAACUUCCAGUUCACAGAUUGUUGGCCAGCGCCAGGGAGCAGGGAGAAUAGCAUCUUUCUAAAUAUUUAAGGUCUUCCGUUUCCAACGGAAGACCUUAUUGUUUUCGUUCGGUUUCUUUUUCCCUAUUCUUUUUUUUUUCUUACAUAUUUUGUGCAGGCGAUUUCUCAAAAACUACCUCGUCGAUUAACAUGAAACUUUGAGAUCAGAUAUUACUCUGAACCUUAUUGGAAAUUUUUUUUAAUUGUGACGUCACUUCCGGUUUUUAGAUAUUAACAAUUCAACGAUUUUUAUAGGGUCGGCUUGUCCACGAAGGUUCUCAUAAACUAAAAAAGAUAUUGAGUUCAAAAUUUCAGGAAUGAUAGUCCAAAAAAUGUAGACCUGCAAUAGGUCAUUUAUAAUUUUUCAGCGCAAAAAGCGCCGGAGCUCGGUGCUCUCCAAAAAUGAGAUCAAAAAGCGGUGUGAUUUUGCAUGGUUUUCUUAAUCUAUCUUUUUGUCCGGAAAUAUUUUGUUAAAAUAUGUAGAACAAAAAAGAUUAAUUUUUAAAAGAUCUUUCAUUUGACAUCAAGAAAAAGGGGCUGGUCCCUCAAAUUAGGGACCUAGAGUUCUUGAAAGUAUUAGCUCUUUAACUCAAAAGCGGUUAAGAUUCCAAUAUGGCUGUCGCUGCAAAAUAUGUUCAUUAUGAUCUUAUUAAUGACGUAACAAUAAUAUUUUGUUCGUGUAUUGCGUAAUGUGAGUGCAAAAAGCUAAAUUUGUUACCAU